rnacentral:rRNA from 1 species
GUAGGGUGCGAGCGUUAAUCGGAAUUACUGGGCGUAAAGCGUGCGCAGGCGGGUUCGCUAAGACCGAUGUGAAAUCCCCGGGGCUUAACCUGGGAACUGCAUUGGUGACUGGCGGGCUAGAGUAUGGCAGAGGGGGGUAGAAUUCCACGUGUAGCAGUGAAAUGCGUAGAGAUGUGGAGGAAUACCGAUGGCGAAGGCAGCCCCCUGGGCCAAUACUGACGCUCAUGCACGAAAGCGUGGGGGGCAAACAGGAUUAGAUACCCUGGUAGUCCACGCCCUAAACGAUGUCAACUAGUUGUCGGGUCUUCAUCGACUUGGUAACGUAGCUAACGCGUGAAGUUGACCGCCUGGGGAGUACGGUCGCAAAGAUUA